UACGUAGGGGCUAGCGUUAUUCGGAAUUACUGGGCGUAAAGGGUGCGUAGGUGGUUUCUUAAGUCAGAGGUGAAAGGCUACGGCUCAACCGUAGUAAGCCUUUGAAACUGGGAAACUUGAGUGCAGGAGAGGAGAGUGGAAUUCCUAGUGUAGCGGUGAAAUGCGUAGAUAUUAGGAGGAACACCAGUUGCGAAGGCGGCUCUCUGGACUGUAACUGACGCUGAGGCACGAAAGCGUGGGGAGCAAACAGGAUUAGAUACCCGCGUAGUCCCUGAGCGGG
rnacentral:rRNA from 1 species